rnacentral:rRNA from 1 species
AGUGAACGCUGGCGGUAGGCCUAACACAUGCAAGUCGAACGGCAGCACAGUAAGAGCUUGCUCUUACGGGUGGCGAGUGGCGGACGGGUGAGGAAUACAUCGGAAUCUACUUUUUCGUGGGGGAUAACGUAGGGAAACUUACGCUAUUACCGCAUACGACCUACGGGUGAAAGCAGCGGAUCUUCGGACCUUGCGCGAUUGAAUGAGCCGAUGUCGGAUUAGCUAGUUGGCGGGGUAAAGGCCCACCAAGGCGACGAUCCGUAGCUGGUCUGAGAGGAUGAUCAGCCACACUGGAACUGAGACACGGUCCAGACUCCUACGGGAGGCAGCAGUGGGGAAUAUUGGACAAUGGGCGCAAGCCUGAUCCAGCCAUACCGCGUGGGUGAAGAAGGCCUUCGGAUUGUAAAGCCCUUUUGUUGGGAAAGAAAAGCAGUAGGUUAAUACCCCGCUGUUCUGACGGUACCCAAAGAAUAAGCACCGGCUAACUUCGUG